UACGUAGGGUGCGAGCGUUAAUCGGAAUUACUGGGCGUAAAGCGUGCGCAGGCGGUUUUGUAAGCCAGAUGUGAAAGCCCCGGGCUCAACCUGGGAAUGGCAUUGGAAACUGGCUAGCUGGAGUGUGGCAGAGGGGGGUGGAAUUCCGCGUGUAGCAGUGAAAUGCGUAGAGAUGCGGAGGAACACCGAUGGCGAAGGCAGCCCCCUGGGCCAACACUGACGCUCAGGCACGAAAGCGUGGGGAGCAAACAGG
rnacentral:rRNA from 1 species